rnacentral:rRNA from 1 species
CGUAGGUGGCAAGCGUUGUCCGGAAUUAUUGGGCGUAAAGCGCGCGCAGGCGGUCCUUUAAGUCUGAUGUGAAAGCCCACGGCUCAACCGUGGAGGGUCAUUGGAGACUGGGGGACUUGAGUACAGAAGAGAAGAGUGGAAUUCCACGUGUAGCGGUGAAAUGCGUAGAGAUGUGGAGGAACACCAGUGGCGAAGGCGACUCUUUGGUCUGUAACUGACGCUGAGGCGCGAAAGCGUGGGGAGCAAACAGGAUUAGAUACCCCGGUAGUCCACGCUGUAAACGAUGAGUGCUAAGUGUUAGAGGGUUUCCGCCCUUUAGUGCUGCAGCUAACGCAUUAAGCACUCCGCCUGGGGAGUACGGCCGCAAGGCUG